GAAUUUCCUACCUUUUGAAGAACUCUCUACUGCAGUCAAGGCAGAAAGCUGAAAUACAAAGUUGACUCAUCAGAGGAUCAUCACCAUCUGUUCAGUAGGACUUCAUUGUGCUCGAAUACAGCUGGUACACUCAUCUUUCUCAUGCCAAAAGAAUGACGUCUUAAAGAAGUGAAAAACUGUCACCUAGUCAAGUGUAGAAUGAGUAGGACAUGCUUCUAGCUUAUCAAAAUUUUAAAGUCUCUCCUAAUUUGGUUGCCUACCAUGCAAGUCAUGAACAUCAAGAGCUUUUCUUUUCUAAAGGAUUUUGCUUUAUUCCAUUUCGUUUUUUAUUUUACUUUCUGGGAUAGAAUUCCAAGUUUUUUUGUUUGUUCUACGUCCUUCACAAGCUAUCGUGCCCCCAUACCCACUCUUUUUGUUUUUUGGCAUUUGUAUCAGUUUCUUUAAUAGAAAUACAGAACCUCCAUAGAUAUAUCAUAUUUUUCACAGGAGUCUUUGGUAUUUAUAGAGUUGGCAGGGUAGUGGAACAAUUGUUCUGUAUUUGUGUAAUCUAUUCAGUAGAAUGAAAGAAAAGGAUAAAACUAGGCCCAGAAAACAUGUGUGUGACUCUCAUUUGUAGGACUCUUACAUGAUGAAUCAAUGGAAAAUCAAAGGUGUACAUCAAGAUUAUGGUUUGCAUCUUUCUGACUGGUUGAAUGCACUUCUCAUAUCUGCUUGUGUGUGUUGUUGCCUUAUUUUUUUUCCUUUUUAAAUAAUGAGACCCUGGUAAAUGAUGUGUUAUCUGAGCGCAAAUUUUACACCACGUUUUAAGCCUCUUCAGCAUCACUAGUUAUAGCCUAGUUAGAUUUCUAGGUAGAUGAUGUUUUCUACAUGCAUCUCUCUGAUUUUUUGGUAGAUGAAUUCUGUACAGAUAACCUCUAUCUACCUAAUUCAUGUACCAAGUACUAAAUUACUCUAAUGAAGUGCAUGAUAUGUUUGGUUUAGUUGGCUCAGUAUUAUGUUUAAGGACAUUGGUUUAUCAUGUCCAAAGUCAGUUUUGUCUUGAAUCUGCAUAUCACUGAUAUUUUGCAGACUGUUCCUGUUGUGUUUUUGGGCCAAUACAUCUUGUUUCUUCAGUAAACAUUACCACUGUUAUUUUGAUCCUCUUAACUACUGCAUUUGUAGGAGCACAGAGUGUAGUGAAAGCAAGAGAACUUUGUCUUGUUAAAUGAGUUAUUUUAGUUCAUGUAACAAGAAGGCUUUGAGCUUUCUUUCUUGCAGUUGAUACUUCAUUUUGUUUUAAUCAAUAGAUUGCAUGAAUCAACUAAUAGGAACCUAAUUUUAGGUCAUUCUCACCGCCAAAACUGUAUCAUAUGCAUACCUGUUUUGUAGUAAAAUGAGAUCUGUUCAGGGUUCUCUCUCUCUCUCUCUCUCUCACGCGCACACACACACUUAUGCACAGGAAUACCACUUCACCUUAUUUGUUUACUUUUUUGCUCUUAUUGUCCAUUUGUUGUGGUUUGUUUCUUCUGAUGGUUUAUUAGGUGACUGAGAAUUUGCAUAAACUGUUUUCUUUAUAUAUCUAAAUCACGCUUCUUUGGCUUGGGUGGCAUAUUACAUCACAAACAAGUCAUGCUGGUCUGGCAUGGGUGGAGAAUGACAAAUGAUAGGUAAGGAGAUGCUUAUUGUAGCCAAACAUAGACUCGCUAGCAGCAGGUCAGAAGUGUUUAGACAGUCCUUUCCAUGUAGUUUAAAAGCAGCAAAGAUUAGCUCACAUCGUAAAGAAGGAUUUUUUUUUUUGCUUUCUGUAUCACCUGCGAAAAACCAGGAUCCUUAAUUUUAAGAAACAAGAUGAUCAGAGUUUUUUCUUUGGUAUUUCGCCUUCAUUGACGUCGAAAUGCUUGGAGCAACAGGAAGAUUACCACUAGGCUUCAAUCUUUUUGAUAUUGAUUAUGUGCACAGAGUUUUGAUCUACAAUGAAACUAGACCCUGUAAACAAUUAGCUUCCAGACUUCACGAAUCAAUUACUAGUUUACCACAAAAACAGUGCAUAUUUUUUUUCCAAGGAGAUAUCAGGUUAUGUAGUUCAAAUGCCUUUGUGGAGUUUAGUUAGUUUGCUUCUAUGUUAGAAUGGGGUAGUUAAUUAUUUACAAAAUCUUGUCUGCACUGCUUUGGCAGCCCUAUAGUAUUCAUAACAUGUACCAACUUAUUUUAUAACAGCAGUUUGUUCAUUGCAGAGUUUGUCUCGUUAAAACAUGGUUACAACAUUGGUGUCCUGGAUUACGUUAGGAUAUUUGUCUUGCUGAAAAAUUUCAAUCUGAUUACAAUGUGGUUUCACUCCUUUCACAUGAAUUGAAGGCGGAUCAGUGUUUACAAGUUGCUAAUGUCCCAGGAUGUGAUACAUUUCUUGAUCUCUAUUUUCAUUUUGCAGUAGCUUCUCUGCAGCGACUUGUUACAUAGGUCUGGAGCAAGAUGUGAUUCUUGUAUGAGGAGCCUCCUUCAUUUGAAAUCCUCAUUCUUUUAUUUUUCUAAUAUCAGUGCAGCUAUCGAUUGUAUAAAUUGUGUGGGGAAAGUAAGAGAAAAGGCUGGGUUUGGAGAUUUACUGCAUCCAUUUGGUGUCCGGUCAUUGUUAUUGCUGAAAAUAUAUUUGUGCAAUCUCAGAAGUAAAAGGUGCAAAGGUGUCCGUAAUGUUCAAUAUUGUCAAAAUCACUUUGCAACACUUCAAGCUAAUCUAGUGUGGGUUUCUUUGCGAUUUGGUUUAUUCUGUGAUUUUAACUGUUCAUGGUUGCAUGACAGGACACCAUUGGGUUCUUCCCAUGUAUAAUGUUUCCAGCACUUUCUCACUUGAGUUUCUGAUAGCUGUUGUGGAAGUAUUGGACUAAAUACAUGACCAACUUAUGCCCCUGUAAUGUAGGUUCACAUAAACUGAGCCACAGAAAGUUUGUUAGUUACAAAUUCAUUGAAUAAUGUCAUUUGUAGAUCUUCCUUUUUACAACUUCUCCUUAGGCUUUAUGGCAUCAACCUAGGCUCUCUAGUUGUCAAGUAGUUUUGCUUGUGGUUUUGUCUUUAUAUGGUCUCUCUUUGCCUGGUUUGGUUGCUUCUCUUGCUUUCCUGUACUUGCUUUUCCUUUCCUAAGUUGAUUAGUGGCUACUACUUUCUGGAUUUGAAGAUAUGUAUUAAUAAGGUAAAAUAGAGAUGACAAAUAAUCAUUAGUCAUUUAACUGUUAUCUGCCUUCUGAUAUGUACUAAGAUCAACGUUGAUGGAAAUUCAAGAGAUAACUAUGUACCAGGCUGAUUUGUAGGAUUGAUCAGAAAUUUUGUUUUUACUGGAGGAUAUAUAGUCGGCUGUUGGGGGAAUUUGCAAUUUUUCACAAGCAUGGACUCAGUGAUGAGAAGCAUUCAUAUAAGAUGGUCCUUUUUUUUUUUGAAAGGUAAGAUAAUCCUUAAUGAAGGAAAGGAAAAUGAAGGGAAUGAUUUUGUAUUUGCUAGACUCACAAAACAGUUUUGGAACUUACUAGAAAAACUCUCAUAGAUUAAGAGCUUUAGUUAAAAGAUUAUAGAUCUGUUUUACAAGGGUUACAGUAUAAAAAUGACGUACGUGGAAACCAGGAUACAAUAUGGGUGCUGAUCAAGAUGAAGUGGAUACAGUAUCAACAGAAGCACCAGCCAGCAUCAGACUGCUGUAUCUGUGCCAAUAGAUCUGGGUACCAUUUGAGGGAGCUGGUUAUGCAAAGGGUUUCAAUCUUGCGUUGUAGCAAAAAGGAAGCUAUAUGACAGCAAGUGGAGUAUUUGAAGAAAGUUCUAAAUCUUUCAGUUGUUACAUGGGAAUAUUCUAAUUAGUUUGGUAUCUAUAUUGACAAUAAACUAGAUGAGUAAAGGAGGAAUUUCUUAGUUGCCCUGAGACAAGGAGGAGUUCGGGGUAAAAUGAUAUGAAUUGAAGUUGGAAACUCCUUAGACAGAAUAGUUCAGCUUUGCUAAUUGGCUCUAUCUGUUAACAGAACUGACCAACUGAUUAGUUACAUACCUUAUCCAUUCCCAGUUGGGUUGCAUUAUUGGUUCAGUUCCAUCAACUACUUCUCUUUGCAUUAACAAGAUCAUAAAGUAUUUAUGAUGAAGAAAAGCAUGAAUGUUUUUGUCUAGAAAAAUGACAUGAAAAAGGAAAAGAAAAUCCUGAUCAGGUAAUUUCGAUAUCAUCUUAAAGUAGAUCUAUUUUUGCAGGUGGAGAUCAAUAAUUUGCUUUAAGCAACACCUUUUGAUCUUUAGAAAGUAUCUAGUGUGUUUAUGUCUUUGCUCUCUACGGCUUUAGAAGUGUUACUCUCAAAUGAGCUGGAUGCCAUGGGAAUCCUAUCAAUGCUCGAGUGUGUGAUUGAGUACCACGAUUUUAGUUUUUUGACCCCAUAAAUCAUGGUUCUUUACCUCAUUACCAUAUACAUCAUGCUGAUAUCUAAGAUAUCUAUGUUGGUCUGCAAAGGUGAUUUUGUCAUUGCAUUUUUUUUCUCUGUAGGUCCUCAGCAGAAUCAGAUGCUUGUUUUGGAAUGGCAGAACAUCAAUCAGAAAAAGGCAAAUUAACGGCAAGAGCAGAGUAUUUUCUCAUUUUCCCAUGAACCUGUUGAUGCAGUACAUAAUUUCUUCACAUGGUCAACAGCUGCAGGGUUGAUGACUGAAAACAAAAUGAAGGUAAUAUUCUAUCUAUUUGUCAAAGAAGUUGGAACUUGUCUACUACAAAACUCGAAGAAAGGAAUAGAAAAAUAAAGAAGCCGGUUUAACUGCUUCACUUCAAAAAGUAUGAAACGAACUUCAUCUAACAAAUUUGCAGGAGGUUUAGUACAAAGUAGAAAACUGUCUCAUGGAUUAUUAUUAAGAGCAUUAACGCCAAAAAAGGUUGACUGUUCAACUCCCUUUUGCUGAACCAUCUUCCCAAUUUGAAUAAAGUACAAUAGCACUGAUUCUGGUGUUGGUUUUUGGCCAGAAUACAUAUCCUGGGAUGGAAGCUUUUUGCUUUUUAUGACAAACUUCAAAUGAUCAGUGAUUGCUUUAUGCCUGCCAUGGCCCAACUGUUCAAGAGAUACAUAUUGAGUACCUAAAAGAAAGCUAGAAGUUGCUUUUUGCGCUUUUGAUUUGUUCCUCAUAAUAACAAGCAGCCUCAGAAGAUUUUCCAAUUUCCACAUUUCAUCUCCUCAAGUGACCCGUGAACGUUAAAGGGAAAGUACAAUUACAUUCAAGCUUGAAUAAUUUUAUACCCAACAUAAUUGUUGCUUGUUUGAGAGCCAGCCAGAAACAAAAUCCUGUUGACCUUAACGUCAAGAUUCCUGAACUUUAAGCACUUUAACGAGUCACAGUUGUAGGUUAGCUUACUCUCUCAACCUUUCAAUUUUCUGGAUUGAAUACUUCAGCUCUUUUUGUAUGUUCAACCUUGAAGGCGACAAAACUAUGUCUUUCCAAAUUGACCCUCUUUCACAAGCUGGAUGUGGGCGUUUGUAGAGAUCAUAGAUGCAGUCUGCUUCCUCAUUUAAUCUGCCUACGAGUUUUAAAAUACCUAUCUCCUCUGGGUCUACCAAUAGGGUCUUGUCUUUGUCUUUCCAUCCUAUCAACUUUAGCAACAACGAUUUUGUUAGUAUCAGAUAUAUUUUUUACCAGAGUACAAUAAACAUGUAUUAGGAUCUGCACAAAUAAGAUAAGUCUAAAUUCAUGGUUUUUAGGCAUUCAGAUGGGGCUAAAGGCUCAUGUAAUUUCUAUUGUGCCUGCAGAACACUAGAAAAUACUAAAGAUUGUACCUUGGCUGGUCCUUCUAAAGCAUUUGUGGAAUAUAAUCUGGCAUUGUCUACUAACUGGCAAUACGUUGUAAAUGCAUUUGCAAAUCUCUUGUGUGAUCUUAACUGUGAUUGCACCCUGACUGCUCUUCUACACAUGAUGGCUCUCCUAUAAGCAUAGACAAAAGGAAGAAACAUACAGGUAACCAUGUCAGUCUUCUUUCUCCCCCACCUGUUUGAAAGUUAUGAGUUAAGGCACUUUGCUUCUUCCUGUGAGAUUGAACUUGAUUGCCUGACCUUUUAAAGCAGCUUUUAAAUUAGUUACAACUUGUUUAGUACAGUUUAUUUCUUCCUUUUAUCUACUUCGAUAGUUGUGGAUGUUAAGAAUCGCAGAAUUAAUUCACAUACCUUAUGCCUCUAACAACAGCCAAAUAAGCAUCACAUACGACUCCAACUAACUCUAUCCUGUAUGGUCUUCUCUUUUUGGAUCCAUUACUCUCUUGUUCUUCAUCUAUCUGUUCCCAGUAUUUUUCAGUGACAACUCCAUCUUUAUCAACCUUGUAACCUGCUCCCAUGCGGUAACGCCUUCGAUGGACAUUUCUGGCCAUCGUUAUUGUUUGUACAACAAAUGGCACCCAGGAGAGUGUGCCAUCCAUUAUCACAUCUCGUCCUUCAUUGAGUGCUGUUACUAGGAGGGAUGAUGCUGCAUCAGUAGAUGAUUGGUGCACCUGCACAGUGAGAAUAUUUUUCCUGGAUAUCAAUGUCCAUAUUUUGUCAAAGAUUUUAUAAAGAAACAAGAAAUUCCAAAAUGCAAUGGCAGAAUAAGGGUGGAAUCAAGGUCUGAACCAUGUGUAGGAUUAAUGACCUCAAGUGAUACUGACAUUUGGCUGGGUUCUACCAAUGACAAAUAAUACAGUUGAUGAUGAUUUUUGGCUGGAUAGGACAAGCAUCUGGAAAAUCAUGGUGCAUCUCAUAAAUUGCAUGAUUUAGAGUUCCAGAUUCUUGAGUCAGCUUCUUCGAAUGUUCAGUUCUCAUUUCCUUUUGUGGCCUAUAUGAGUUUUUCUCUUUCUUUUAGUUUCCCUAUUUUGUACCGGUUCUGAACUUUUAUUUGAACUGCUUGUGUGUCAUAUUCCUGCAUCAUAUCAUUCUGAUGGCUAAUGUAGAACUAGGGAUGUGACUUUCUGUUCUUAAAGAUCCUUGAGCAUUUGAGAUAGCACUAGUGUGUUUCACGAAAAUGAGGUGGACUUUUGUACUUGAGGAAUCUUUAGUUUUCUUCAACUAAUGGUAAACUAGGAGAGAUUCUAUUGCAGCUUUCAAAGAUGCCCAUUUGGAAACUACUCGAGGGGCAAAGAAGAGAUCACUUGAGGGACGGAAUAGCAGUUACAGGAUCUCUGACAUGUAAUUAAUGUAUUGGUGCACUUAUAUUUAGGAGCCAAAUGAUUCCCAGUAAAGAAAUUUGAGUUGGAGUUAGUACUUAGAAGAGGUGAUCUGACAGGUACCAGAAGGUAAGCCGGAUGGUUUAUAGCUCUACAAAAGUUGCUUUUAAAAUUGAUAUUUUUUUUUUCUGUUGAAGUUUUCAAAAUGGAGGCACAGGAAAUGAUUGAGCAGCAUACCAAUUCAGCAGUAUGAAGCAUGUCAUGAUGGCCACUAGAGCUUAGGGCUUUGUAGAUGACAUCUGACUCCUUGAAGGCGUCUGCUUCUAUUACAACAGAAUUUCCUGAUGCCCCCACCCAGAAUGGUCUGCACGCAAGUUCACAAAGGCAAAAAUAUAAAUGCUACGGUACCUGGCUGACCAUGUAAGGAGCUUGGGACCAGUGAAAGGCGAAGUAACUGAGAAUGCACCUCUCAAACUCUUCCACCAGCUUUAUGAAGAGCGAAUCGGCCUCUUGCUCGCAGGCAAAGAAGUUAUAUAUCUCUUCCUCACACCCUUCUGAUUUCCUAAGGUAUUCAGAAGCUAACUUGCACAGGGUCGGACACUGCCUUCUAUCUGCAAAUCCCAUUUGUCUAGCUGCAAAAAGCAUGCAUGCACGUGGAUAUGUAUAGGGAUGUAUCGAUCAACUCGGGGUAAACAAAAGGAAUCCGACAGAUAAUUCCAUGAAAUAGAUUAAAGACUUGACGCCACAUUCAUCAAUUACCUACGUAAUAUGAGAAUUUCUCGAGCUUAACGACUUGCCCGGAUUCUGGAAUUCUCAUCUUCGGUAUGAUCCUGUUGUCACGUAUUUUCUUCAGCCGAUAAUGCAUCGCAGCAGCGACCAUUAAUCCAACCGAAGAAGCUAUAAGGAUCUGAGCAUAUGUGGGUUUGCAACUGAUCCCACUAAGAUCUGAGAGACAACUCAUAUGGAAUCAUGAUCGGGAUCACAGUUUACAAACAUGAUUUUGCCCACACACACACACACACACAAAACUAAGGAUCAUUAAAAAGUAACAAUGGCAUUGUACCUUUCUGCAUGUCUUGUUUGUCAUCCAGAAAGAAACGGAGGGAGAAAAGUUGCUCGAGAUUUGAGAUCUUCAUAAUAUUGCGCGGAUGAGGAAAACGCAGAAUCUUC